rnacentral:rRNA from 1 species
AUUUAGUGGCGGACGGGUGAGUAACGCGUGGGUAACCUGCCUUGUACUGGGGGACAACAGUUGGAAACGACUGCUAAUACCGCAUAAGCGCACAGCUUCGCAUGAAGCAGUGUGAAAAACUCCGGUGGUACAGGAUGGACCCGCGUCUGAUUAGCUGGUUGGUGAGGUAACGGCUCACCAAGGCGACGAUCAGUAGCCGGCUUGAGAGAGUGAACGGCCACAUUGGGACUGAGACACGGCCCAAACUCCUACGGGAGGCAGCAGUGGGGAAUAUUGCACAAUGGGGGAAACCCUGAUGCAGCGACGCCGCGUGAGUGAAGAAGUAUCUCGGUAUGUAAAGCUCUAUCAGCAGGGAAGAAAAUGACGGUACCUGACUAAGAAGCCCCGGCUAACUACGUGCCAGCAGCCGCGGUAAUACGUAGGGGGCAAGCGUUAUCCGGAAUUACUGGGUGUAAAGGGUGCGUAGGUGGUAUGGCAAGUCAGAAGUGAAAACCCAGGGCUUAACUCUGGGACUGCUUUUGAAACUGUCAGACUGGAGUGCAGGAGAGGUAAGCGGAAUUCCUAGUGUAGCGGUGAAAUGCGUAGAUAUUAGGAGGACAUCAGUGGCGAAGGCGGCUUACUGGACUGAAACUGAC